AUUGAACGCUGGCGGCAGGCCUAACACAUGCAAGUCGAACGAGUGGCGGACGGGAGAGUAAUGUCUGGGAAACGGCCUGAGGGAGGGGGAAAAGUACUGGAAACGGUAGCUAAUACAGCAAACCACCAGCUGUGUCUAGAUGGGAGUAGCUAGGGGGAGGGGUAACGGCUUACCAAGGCGAAGAUCCCAAGCUGGUCAGAGAGGAUGACCAGCCACACUGGAACUGAGACACGGUCCAGACUCCUACGGGAGGCAGCAGUGGGGAAUAUUGCACAAUGGGCGCAAGCCUGAUGCAGCCAUGCCGCGUGUAUGAUGAAGGCCUUCGGAUUGUAAAGUUCUUUCAGCGGGGAGGCGUUACCCGCAGAAGAAGCACCGGCUAACUCCGUGCCAGCCGCCGCGGUAAUUC
rnacentral:rRNA from 1 species